GAUGAACGCUGGCGGCGUGCCUAAUACAUGCAAGUCGAGCGAACAGAUGAGGAGCUUGCUCCUCUGACGUUAGCGGCGGACGGGUGAGUAACACGUGGAUAACCUACCUAUAAGACUGGGAUAACUUCGGGAAACCGGAGCUAAUACCGGAUAAUAUAUUGAACCGCAUGGUUCAAUAGUGAAAGACGGUUUUGCUGUCACUUAUAGAUGGAUCCGCGCCGCAUUAGCUAGUUGGUAAGGUAACGGCUUACCAAGGCAACGAUGCGUAGCCGACCUGAGAGGGUGAUCGGCCAAACUGGAACUGAGACACGGUCCAGACUCCUACGGGAGGCAGCAGUAGGGAAUCUUCCGCAAAGGGCGAAAGCUUGACGGAGCAACGCCGCGUGAGUGAUGAAGGUCUUCGGAUCGUAAAACUCUGUUAUUAGGGAAGAACAAAUGUGUAAGUAACUAUGCACGUCUUGACGGUACCUAAUCAGAAAGCCACGGCUAACUACGUG
rnacentral:rRNA from 1 species